UGGUAAGCGUCUGAACUGGAUUUUAAGGACCCGUGAUUGCAGGAUGGGAUUUUAGAAAACAAAACACACACACGAUCGUAUUGAAGACUGACUGAGUCAGUUUCCUGAAUAAGCAGGGGCAGUUUACAAGCUGGAAACUUCAAUUUUGAAAGGGGGAGGGCAGCCCGCUGGAUAUCUAUUCANUGUCAACAUCUCCCCUCAGCAGCCCUUCUCCCGUUUCUCUCCGUGAUCACGUUUUACACCUCAGAGGGGCAACUUGGAUUCUCUUACCCUCAGUAAUCCUAAAGUGAACGUAGUUAUUGGAAAACUCAGGGUCCCUGCCUGCCUGAUCCAAGCAUUAGAGGAGACGGGCUGCGGCAGCGUCGAGAGGAAAACCGAUAGAAAACGUCCGGCCCACGCACUUAUGCGCCCAUCAUCAUCAUUUGUUGACGACGAUGAUGACUGGCCAGAUUCUCUAAUUUUCCACAAGAAAGAACAUCUUCCCACCUCCACCCACCUCAGGGAAGGAAUCAGGAGGAGACGGCAGGAUUCUGCAGCUCGCGAUCGCUAUCAACAUNUCAUACACGUCAGAGUGUGCGAUCGGGAGGAAGAAAGCGAGCGAGCGAGAGUGACGCGAGCGAGAUCACGGGCCCUUUGCAGAUUUAAUGUAGUGACAAUAAUUGCCUGUUUGCUAUCGGCGCACAAGGGAGCGCAGCGCAGCCCAUUGUUUCCGAUCCUAGAAACCUAUUAACGAAUCUCUUUUCCCAACAAAGAUUCUAACCCCACCCACCUAUUCCACUCUGCCCAAUGAAAAGCAGAAUUGGGGGGAUGAGGAGGGGUACGAAUGUUAAAAGCUCGAUCAUUCCAAGGAUCUUACCCCCCCCCCGCUAGCAUUAAAAAAAAAAAGAAAAUGAGAAAUGUCAGCCUUUAUUCCUUGUCACAAUCAGCGCGGGGCGGGAUCUGUGUAACGAUCAUUCAGUAUUAACAUAACCCAAGAUAGCAGAAACGAGCAACAAGUCUGCUGAUUCAGGGUCUCCGGUCAUUGCUUUUUUCUGCGACCUCUAGCGGCGGAAACGUGUUUAGCACCUCACCGCAUCCCUACGCCUCUCCAAACUAAAAGCUGUUUGGGCGGGGGGGGGGGGUUGGUUGGUUGGUCACUUUGGGCUCAGGAUUGUAGGAGUCUGUUCCUCACACGCCGUAUACCGCACAUUGAUGACUUUAGUGAAACAAAUGGAGGAAACUCCCCUCCUAUAACUGUCGAUUGUANAGUCAACAUGCCAUUCAUUCUUGAAUGAUCAAUAAUGAUGAAUUUAAUUAGGUUGCCAUGUAUUUCAGCAGACAUUGUCUGUAUUAUAAACUACACUUCUGAAAUGCCUUCUUCUAUGCAGCUAUUGAAGGCAUAAGAACUCUGACUUGCAUUCCAUAUGGCAACCCUAUGCAUAGAGCUUUUAGUAAAGGCUCACGUGUAAGUUAUCUGAGCAGUCUUUGCCACAGCCUUGUCAUUACCAUUACAAAACAAAUACCAAUACAAUUUAAGGGUGAGAGUGUCCUUGUGCCUAAGUUGCAUGCAAUCCUUCCAGAUUUGCCAUAGGAUUAUCUGGAUUAUCUUCCAGAUAAUUGGGGGCAGAUUGUCUUUGCCACAGAGAGCAGAAGAAGUGAUUUUGGCAUUAGUGCUAUUGGGGCUCUGGCAAUUGCCAGAGAUGGCUGCCAGUGGAUUAGAUUUGGGUUCUUGAUCUUGCCAUUACUCAGCUGACAGCUGUAUUACUUUUUUAUUUCUUUCUAAGAAAGGCUGAUGAGUUUUAACCAUCAGACGAAAUGCAUCAUUUCCUCUCUAGGCAGUCUUUAUGCUAAAAAGGUCUUGACAGAAGGGGAAUAACAGGAAUUGAGCAAUCUGAUCCCAUGAAUUUUACUCAGUAGUAUGCUCUAAUAAGUGUAUGCAAUCUUAGUGAUAAGGACUGAUAUCUGUUGUUCUGUUACACUGUCAUGUGUAUAGUGAAAUUUGAAGCAGGUUUAUUAUGCCACAAUUCAACUAUUUCCUUUAGCAAACCAACAAGUUCUGUUUAUCACAUGUGCUGGUAGAUGCAGAUUCUUCUGAUCUUUCCUGUGGCUUAGUUUUGUAGCACUAGAUGUAAGAAAGACCAUUAGGUUUUUCUUUCUUAAUUUUUUUAUUUUAUUAAUUUAAUUUCAUCAGUUGAUUAAGUUUUUCUGUAGCUAUGUGUGCUAUUUUACUUCCUUUAUCAUUGUGCAAUUCUUAUGGUGAUCUUUGAUCAAAAUAAAGAAG
ensembl:lncRNA